CCCAUCAUUUUAGCAUGGACGUCGUCCCUACUAAUCUAAAAGAUUUGCGAGCGUGUCUCUUAUGCUCUUUAAUUAAAACCGAAUCGCAAUUCUUUAAGGAAGGGUGUAAUAACUGUGAAGAGUUUUUAGAAAUAAAAAAUUCUCUGCAACGCAUCGAAGAAUGCACAAGCAGCAACUUUGAGGGUGUAAUUUCCUUAAUGCAACCACAAAAUUCUUGGGUGGCCAAGUGGCAAAGGAUCGCUCGUUUUGGUAAGGGUUGUUAUGCAAUUUCAAUAACUGGUGAACUCCCCCCUUACUUAGUGGAGGAUUUACAAGAGAAAGAUAUUUACUAUCGUAAUCGGGACUUACACUCCAGCUUUAAUCUUUAAAAGGGUUGUCUUUUGGUUGAAAUUUUUUAUAAAACACUGAAAAUUAAUUUUAAGAUAGGCAAUAAAGCUUAU